GGCUUAACACAUGCAAGUCGAGGGGUAACAGAGGUAGCUUGCUACUUGCUGACGACCGGCGCACGGGUGCGUAACGCGUAUAGAAUCUACCUUAUACUGGGGGAUAGCCUUUGGAAACGAAGAUUAAUACCCCAUAGUAUGUUUGAAUGGCAUCAUUUGGACAUUAAAGUUUCGGCGGUAUAAGAUGACUAUGCGUUCUAUUAGUUUGUUGGUAAGGUAACGGCUUACCAAGACUACGAUAGAUAGGGGUCCUGAGAGGGAGAUCCCCCACACUGGUACUGAGACACGGACCAGACUCCUACGGGAGGCAGCAGUGAGGAAUAUUGGACAAUGGAGGCAACUCUGAUCCAGCCAUGCCGCGUGUAGGAAGACUGCCCUAUGGGUUGUAAACUACUUUUAUAUGGGAAGAAUAAGGUCUACGUGUAGACUGAUGACGGUACCAUAAGAAUAAGCACCGGCUAACUCCGUGCCAGCAGCCGCGGUAAUACGGAGGGUGCAAGCGUUAUCCGGAAUCAUUGGGUUUAAAGGGUCCGUAGGCGGGCAUAUAAGUCAGUGGUGAAAGUCUGUGGCUCAACCAUAGAAUUGCCAUUGAUACUGUAUGUCUUGAAUUAUUGUGAAGUGGUUAGAAUAUGUAGUGUAGCGGUGAAAUGCUUAGAGAUUACAUAGAAUACCGAUUGCGAAGGCAGAUCACUAACAAUAUAUUGACGCUGAUGGACGAAAGCGUAGGUAGCGAACAGGAUUAGAUACCCUGGUAGUCUACGCCGUAAACGAUGGAUACUAGUUGUUUGGUUUUCGGACUGAGUGACUAAGCGAAAGUGAUA
rnacentral:rRNA from 2 species